GAGAAAUAUCAUUGCUCGCUCUAAUGGUAAAAAGGAAAAAUAUGCUCUAGUGGUGGUAAAAAGAGAGUCAUAUGCUCUGAUACCAAUUUGAUAGGACAAACUUGCAAAGACAAAGAGAGUAUUGUUGUGAGGCUUAAAAUCUAAGAUAAUGAGAUUAGAUGAAGUCGAGUUGGAGGUCAGUAGAAGUCUGAUCUAGCAAGUCUUCAAAAAACCUAUAAAACAAGUCAAAAAUCAGUGG
rnacentral:lncRNA from 1 species